UACGUAGGGUGCGAGCGUUGUCCGGAUUUAUUGGGCGUAAAGAGCGUGUAGGCGGCCAUACAGGUCAGCUGUGAAAACUCGAGGCUCAACCUCGAGACGUCGGUUGAAACCAUCUGGCUAGAGUCCGGAAGAGGAGUGUGGAAUUCCCGGUGUAGCGGUGAAAUGCGCAGAUAUCGGGAAGAACACCCGUGGCGAAGGCGGCACUCUGGGACGGUACUGACGCUGAGACGCGAAAGCGUGGGGAGCGAACAGG
rnacentral:rRNA from 1 species